rnacentral:rRNA from 1 species
GACAGAGGGGGCAAGCGUUGCUCGGAAUCACUGGGCGUAAAGGCGCGUAGGCGGGAUGGCAAGUCAGUCGUGAAAUCUCUCGGCUCAACCGAGAAACGUCGGCUGAUACUGCCGUUCUUGAGGGAUGCAGAGGAGACUGGAAUUCCCGGUGUAGCGGUGAAAUGUGUAGAGAUCGGGAGGAACACCGGUGGCGAAGGCGGGUCUCUGGGCAUCUCCUGACGCUGAGGCGCGAAAGCGUGGGGAGCAAACGGG